AAUCAACGCUGGCGGCGUGCCUAACACAUGCAAGUCCACGAGAAAGCGGUAGCAAUACUGCCGGUAAAGUGGCGAACGGGUGAGUAACACGUAGGUAACUUGCCCUUGGGACUGGAAUAACCUCGAGAAAUCGGGGCUAAUACCGGAUAAUGCAGCGGACCCGCAUGGGUAUGUUGUUAAAGUGGUCUUGGCUUGCCAAGUUCACACCUAAGGAUGGGCCUGCGUCCCAUUAGCUAGNGGUGAGGUAACGGCUCACCAAGGCGACGAUGGGUAGCCGGCCUGAGAGGGUNCCCGGCCACACUGGGACUGAGAUACGGCCCAGACUCCUACGGGAGCAGCAGUGAGGAAUAUUGGUCAAUGGCCGAAAGGCUG
rnacentral:rRNA from 1 species